rnacentral:rRNA from 1 species
AAUAUUGCACAAUGGGCGCAAGCCUGAUGCAGCAACGCCGCGUGCGGGAUGACGGCCUUCGGGUUGUAAACCGCUUUUAGUAGGGAAGAAGGGCUUCGGCUUGACGGUACCUGCAGAAAAAGGACCGGCUAACUACGUGCCAGCAGCCGCGGUAAUACGUAGGGUCCGAGCGUUGUCCGGAAUUAUUGGGCGUAAAGAGCUCGUAGGCGGUUUGUCGCGUCUGUUGUGAAAUCCUCAGGCUCAACCUGAGGUCUGCGGUGGGUACGGGCAGACUUGAGUGGUGUAGGGGAGACUGGAAUUCCUGGUGUAGCGGUGGAAUGCGCAGAUAUCAGGAGGAACACCGAUGGCGAAGGCAGGUCUCUGGGCACUUACUGACGCUGAGGAGCGAAAGCGUGGGGAGCGAACAGGAUUAGAUACCCUGGUAGUCCACGCCGUAAACGUUGGGCGCUAGCGGUGGGGACCUUUCCACGGUUUCCGUGUCGUAGCUAACGCAUUAAGCGCCCCGCCUGGGGAGUACGGCCGCAAGGCUAAAACUCAAAGGAAUUGACGGGGG